rnacentral:rRNA from 1 species
CGACCCCAGGUCCGGCGGGGUUACCCGCUGAAUUUAAGCA